rnacentral:rRNA from 1 species
UACGUAGGGUGCGAGCGUUAAUCGGAAUUACUGGGCGUAAAGUGUGCGCAGGCGGCGUUGCAAGUCGAGUGUGAAAUCCCCGAGCUUAACUUGGGAAUUGCGCUCGAAACUACGAUGCUCGAGUAUGGCAGAGGAAGGUGGAAUUCCACGUGUAGCGGUGAAAUGCGUAGAUAUCUGGAGGAACACCGGUGGCGAAGGCGGCGAUCUGGGUAGAUACUGACGCUGAGGUGCGAAAGCGUGGGGAGCAAACAGG